rnacentral:rRNA from 1 species
GGGUUGUGAGGUUAAGCGACUAAGCGUACACGGUGGAUGCCCUGGCAGUCAGAGGCGAUGAAGGACGUGCUAAUCUGCGAUAAGCGUCGGUAAGGUGAUAUGAACCGUUAUAACCGGCGAUUUCCGAAUGGGGAAACCCAGUGUGAUUCGUCACACUAUCAUUAACUGAAUCCAUAGGUUAAUGAGGCGAACCGGGGGAACUGAAACAUCUAAGUACCCCGAGGAAAAGAAAUCAACCGAGAUUCCCCCAGUAGCGGCGAGCGAACGGGGAGCAGCCCAGAGCCUGAAUCAGUGUGUGUGUUAGUGGAAGCGUCUGGAAAGGCGCGCGAUACAGGGUGACAGCCCCGUACACAAAAAUGCACAUACUGUGAGCUCGAUGAGUAGGGCGGGACACGUGGUAUCCUGUCUGAAUAUGGGGGGACCAUCCUCCAAGGCUAAAUACUCCUGACUGACCGAUAGUGAACCAGUACCGUGAGGGAAAGGCGAAAAGAACCCCGGCGAGGGGAGUGAAAAAGAACCUGAAACCGUGUACGUACAAGCAGUGGGAGCCUCUUUUAUGGGGUGACUGCGUACCUUUUGUAUAAUGGGUCAGCGACUUAUAUUCUGUAGCAAGGUUAACCGAAUAGGGGAGCCGAAGGGAAACCGAGUCUUAACUGGGCGUUAAGUUGCAGGGUAUAGACCCGAAACCCGGUGAUCUAGCCAUGGGCAGGUUGAAGGUUGGGUAACACUAACUGGAGGACCGAACCGACUAAUGUUGAAAAAUUAGCGGAUGACUUGUGGCUGGGGGUGAAAGGCCAAUCAAACCGGGAGAUAGCUGGUUCUCCCCGAAAGCUAUUUAGGUAGCGCCUCGUGAAUUCAUCUCCGGGGGUAGAGCACUGUUUCGGCAAGGGGGUCAUCCCGACUUACCAACCCGAUGCAAACUGCGAAUACCGGAGAAUGUUAUCACGGGAGACACACGGCGGGUGCUAACGUCCGUCGUGAAGAGGGAAACAACCCAGACCGCCAGCUAAGGUCCCAAAGUCAUGGUUAAGUGGGAAACGAUGUGGGAAGGCCCAGACAGCCAGGAUGUUGGCUUAGAAGCAGCCAUCAUUUAAAGAAAGCGUAAUAGCUCACUGGUCGAGUCGGCCUGCGCGGAAGAUGUAACGGGGCUAAACCAUGCACCGAAGCUGCGGCAGCGACGCUGAUGCGUUGUUGGGUAGGGGAGCGUUCUGUAAGCCUGUGAAGGUGUACUGUGAGGUAUGCUGGAGGUAUCAGAAGUGCGAAUGCUGACAUAAGUAACGAUAAAGCGGGUGAAAAGCCCGCUCGCCGGAAGACCAAGGGUUCCUGUCCAACGUUAAUCGGGGCAGGGUGAGUCGACCCCUAAGGCGAGGCCGAAAGGCGUAGUCGAUGGGAAACAGGUUAAUAUUCCUGUACUUGGUGUUACUGCGAAGGGGGGACGGAGAAGGCUAUGUUGGCCGGGCGACGGUUGUCCCGGUUUAAGCGUGUAGGCUGGUUUUCCAGGCAAAUCCGGAAAACUAAGGCUGAGGCGUGAUGACGAGGCACUACGGUGCUGAAGCAACAAAUGCCCUGCUUCCAGGAAAAGCCUCUAAGCAUCAGGUAACAUCAAAUCGUACCCCAAACCGACACAGGUGGUCAGGUAGAGAAUACCAAGGCGCUUGAGAGAACUCGGGUGAAGGAACUAGGCAAAAUGGUGCCGUAACUUCGGGAGAAGGCACGCUGAUAUGUAGGUGAAGUCCCUCGCGGAUGGAGCUGAAAUCAGUCGAAGAUACCAGCUGGCUGCAACUGUUUAUUAAAAACACAGCACUGUGCAAACACGAAAGUGGACGUAUACGGUGUGACGCCUGCCCGGUGCCGGAAGGUUAAUUGAUGGGGUUAGCGCAAGCGAAGCUCUUGAUCGAAGCCCCGGUAAACGGCGGCCGUAACUAUAACGGUCCUAAGGUAGCGAAAUUCCUUGUCGGGUAAGUUCCGACCUGCACGAAUGGCGUAAUGAUGGCCAGGCUGUCUCCACCCGAGACUCAGUGAAAUUGAACUCGCUGUGAAGAUGCAGUGUACCCGCGGCAAGACGGAAAGACCCCGUGAACCUUUACUAUAGCUUGACACUGAACAUUGAGCCUUGAUGUGUAGGAUAGGUGGGAGGCUUUGAAGUGUGGACGCCAGUCUGCAUGGAGCCGACCUUGAAAUACCACCCUUUAAUGUUUGAUGUUCUAACGUUGACCCGUAAUCCGGGUUGCGGACAGUGUCUGGUGGGUAGUUUGACUGGGGCGGUCUCCUCCUAAAGAGUAACGGAGGAGCACGAAGGUUGGCUAAUCCUGGUCGGACAUCAGGAGGUUAGUGCAAUGGCAUAAGCCAGCUUGACUGCGAGCGUGACGGCGCGAGCAGGUGCGAAAGCAGGUCAUAGUGAUCCGGUGGUUCUGAAUGGAAGGGCCAUCGCUCAACGGAUAAAAGGUACUCCGGGGAUAACAGGCUGAUACCGCCCAAGAGUUCAUAUCGACGGCGGUGUUUGGCACCUCGAUGUCGGCUCAUCACAUCCUGGGGCUGAAGUAGGUCCCAAGGGUAUGGCUGUUCGCCAUUUAAAGUGGUACGCGAGCUGGGUUUAGAACGUCGUGAGACAGUUCGGUCCCUAUCUGCCGUGGGCGCUGGAGAACUGAGGGGGGCUGCUCCUAGUACGAGAGGACCGGAGUGGACGCAUCACUGGUGUUCGGGUUGUCAUGCCAAUGGCACUGCCCGGUAGCUAAAUGCGGAAGAGAUAAGUGCUGAAAGCAUCUAAGCACGAAACUUGCCCCGAGAUGAGUUCUCCCUGACCCUUUAAGGGUCCUGAAGGAACGUUGAAGACGACGACGUUGAUAGGCCGGGUGUGUAAGCGCAGCGAUGCGUUGAGCUAACCGGUACUAAUGAACCGUGAGGCUUAACCUUACAACGCCGAAGGUGUUU